rnacentral:lncRNA from 1 species
CAUUUUCUACAAAAUGAGAGGUUAAUCAAUGUUAAUUUGAGUUUAUAGACUGAAUAUAACUAUGUUUCACAGAUUUUGUUUAUUCUCCUAGAAUAAGCCUUUUGUCAAGCUCUGUAUUUCAGAAACACUACUCUAUUAUACUUGGCAAAACAAAACGGCAUUCCUGAGAGUGAAACCCUAGUAAUAAGGAUUUACAUUAUGAAAUUAAGACAAAACAAAUGUAGCUGUUACGGAUUUUAAAAGUUAGGUCACUACAUGAGUCUAGUGGGAAGAAGUUAUGAGAACCACCAGAAUCAUCUAGAAAUUUUUAUAAGAGAACAUGACUAAAAUUAGCUAAAACUUACGAAUUAGAUUAGAAAAACAGAUACAUCCAUUCAUUUGAAUUGCUUCUAUAAGCAACAGUGUUUCUUUUCUAAAAUAUUAAUACAGUAAUCAUCACUCUCCUAAAGCUCUCCUUCUGCUAGGAGGAAAAUAUUUCCUCACCCUACUGAUGUUGGGCUUAGUCAUGUGAUUUCAUUCACAUUAAUUAAGAUGCAGAAUUUUAUCUAGAAAUAUUACAUGACUUAGUCUAACAUUAAAAAUUAGGUUGACAAAAUAAUCAUUUUACCUAAGAAUAUCUAGUUACUUUUAAAUUAGAGUUAAAGCAUUAAAAUAAUGCAUCCAGUUUUCUGUAUUACAUUUGUUUUUCCAUAAGUACAGAUAAAAUAAUAUUAAUGAUAUAUCAGAUAGUUUUAAAACUAAACACUGGCAGGAUUCUAUUUUAUUAUAUAAGUAAAAGUUUAGAAUUCCUUUCUCCACACCAGUAAUUUUGCAGAAAACUAAUCAGGAAUAUUCUGAAAAUAUGUUGGCACUCUUAUUUCUAUUAACUGCAUAUGGUUUGGGAUUCAACUUUUAGAAUAAGCCACGAUGCAUGAUGCAUUAGAUUUUAACCAGCUGACGACCCUUGGCUAUGUGAUUGUAAAGGAGAUGGCAAAAUAUCAUUGAAGAUGGCCAUGUAAAACAUCAAUGAGAUAAGAUUCACUCUUACCCAAGAUUUUUCUAUCUAUAUCAGAUUUUUCUAUACAGCAGCAGGCUAUUCCUGAGAAUGUGUCCUUCACUUUUUUACUUUCAUUUGAUGCGGGUAAGUAAAUGUAUUCAAUGAGUUUCAAGUGUGUGAAGAAAGUGAUAUAAAGUAAGGGAAAAUUAUGGCACAAUGGCUGUAACUCCUGGAAAGUAAUGAAAAGACAGAAUGUCUCGAGCAUUUGACUGGAAAUAGAAGAGACUGCAUCCUGGUGAACUGAGUUAAUUUCAAAUAUAUUACUCUAUGGUUUUCUAUCAUGUGUACUCUCACUGGCUAUAUUAAUAAAUGAAAUAGUGAUGAAUGGUUCUGGGAACUUGUAGUGAAACUUAUUAAUAUUUCAACAUUAUCACCGAGUAUCUAUGUCAACACACAUCAAAAAUGCAUGAGAAAUGACUACCUACACUCACUAGUUACACCCAUUAGAAAAAUAUCUAUGAGAAGUAUAAAUGACACACAUAAAUUUGCAAUGUGAUUAUAGGUAGAACAUACAGCAAGAAAAAAGCUACAGGAAGAUAUCACGUGGUGAAGUAUGUGAAACAAAUGAAAGCAAAUUAAUUCUUGCAAUCGGUUUGGAAUACACUGUAUGACCACAUUAAAUACCAUUAGAUUUGAAAUUAUGAGUUCUUAGAAAUUACUAACACUAAAAAAAUUUCAACAUAAUUUAAAAGUAGGAAAAAUAAAUAGCCACUAUCAAACUGUAAGUGGCUCAUCAGUUCUAUCCAUGGUGUAAUUUUGGAAUCCCCUACUUAAAAAACAAAAGUAAAAACAAAACCUUUAGUUUUCAAAAGUUUGUUCUACUUUUUAAAUUGAUGACCAAGAGGUAAUAAAUUCACAUUAGAAUGAGGCAUGGCCGUUUAAACAAUAAAUCAACACUUAACCCAAUAGUUUCCAAGUUGUUAGGUAGGCUUAAAAAAAAAAGUCUGUUUAUACCUAUAUCAGAAGACAUUCGAUUUAGUUGGGGGGUGUCUGUCAAAUUGAUUGUUUAGCAUUAUGCGUAGAGUAUAAAAUGUCAACCAUAGAAAUGGAGACAGAAAUCACUUUCAAAAUAGCAACAUCUGUGUAGUAGCUUU